AUUACAAUUUUUUAACAUCAUUAUAUAAUAUAUAGAGUUUAAAAAACAUCUUAAUUUUUUCCGUCAUAUUUUAUGAUUCAAAAUUUUAAAAAUGAACAUAUAUUAACCAAUUAGCAAAAAAUGUGUGGGUUCAACGUCCCGCAUCGACAAAAAAAUUUAGACAAUGAUUUAUAAACAUAUCAUAAAUAAGAUCAACAUUAAUAUAAAUAAAUGGUUUUUUUACGGAACGGGUUUGGCAGGACGUUACUUAAUAACAAUUGUAAACUAUAAAAUAAAAAUAUAUUAUAGAUAGAUACAAUUUGCAAAAAAAAAUUAUACUAACUUUAAAAAGAUAAAUUGUCACCGCGGGAUAAAAUUUAGUUUAUAUAUAUUAUAUGUAAAAAAAAUCUGUAAAAUAUAUUUUCUAA
rnacentral:sRNA from 1 species